rnacentral:lncRNA from 1 species
GGUGAAUCAAGUGCAGAAUUUUAGAGUCUAAAUGGUAUUGUCCCUUCGGAUCGCGUCAUAUAAGAUCUUAAAAUUGUGAAAGGAUUAGAGAAGAGUCCGUUAUUGCUUCAGAGUGUAUGGGUUCUAGUGUGAACCUUGAUCUUGACGAAAUCGUGCUUUUCAGCCUUCUGUAUUGAGUAUAUUCGGCCCUUUUCAGAAAUUUAUGUUGCAGAUGUCAUGCUUAAGGGAAAAGAUGUGUAGUAGAAGUGUUGGAAUUGUAUUUCCACCAAAUAGUAGUAUAAGUUAAAGUGCCGGUAUCAUGACCUAUUG